UGCCUUUUUUAAGGAAUUUUUACUAGGGAGGGGGGGGGGGGCAAAACAGGAAAAAAGGCAGAACGAAAAAUAUGACCCAUCGAAGUUUGGCGAACACGCCAGUCUGAAGAGAGAUUUUGUAAAACUUGAAUUUAUUAACUUCUCCUAUAUAGACAAUAACUUCAACCCUUUGUAGCUAUAAUCGUACAGCUAUAACCAGUGGCGUAGCCAGACCUUAAUUUAAAAAAUCUAAACUAAAUCUAUUCUUCUUGGAACCAACAUUUUAUCGGAUUGUUUGCAUGAAAUCUAUCGCUAUUAUGAAAUACUCGGUGAAGAACAAUAUGAAUUACACACAAGAUAGCUGUGGAGGUGGCUAUGGAAGGGCAUAAUCUCAUUAUCAACAGGGCCGCCCAGAGGGGGGGGGGGGCAAAGGGGGCAAAUUGCCCCGGGCCCCGAGUUGCAGGGGGCCCCUGAAAUUUUUUGUUGGGCCCCAGCCUUUUUGGUGUGUUAAAUAUUUCCGCGCAAAGGACAAGAUAUCUGUUUUCUUGGGCUAAGUACCGAAUUUUGGCAUAAAAAAAUGAGAUAAAGUCCCUCGAAAAAUUUUUUACCCCUAAAAUGGUACACUGACCGAAAAUUUUUUGGCGACGGGGGGGGGAGGUUGUUGUCCGGAAAAAAAUUAGGGGCCCCUAAAAAAAAAAUUCGAUCCAGGCACCCGCCAACCUCUGGGCGGCCCUGAUUAUCAAGUAAAUCAACUGCAAUUCUGACAGCAAUCAUGAGCAAUUCUGCUUCGCACUUCGGGGGCAGAAAUGGCUUUGCUAAUUACUUUACUUGCUUUACCCCCCCCCCCCAGAUAUCUAGUUAAAAAAAGGCACUGAAAUAGCAAAAUAAUUAGAUCUUAAAAGCUAUUUAUUUCCUAUUCAAAUAGAAAGUUGUGAGAAUUUAGAAAGGGUAAAUGUAUUUAUUUAACUGGUC
rnacentral:lncRNA from 1 species